rnacentral:ncRNA from 12 species
UUGCCCUUUGUAUGGUGGUGGAGUUGGAAACACCCACACGGCUACUAUUGCUGCCGAGGAACACCUAAACAGAGGGCGUUU